rnacentral:rRNA from 1 species
GACGAACGCUGGCGGCGUGCCUAAUACAUGCAAGUAGAACGCACAGUUUAUACCGUAGCUUGCUACACCAUAGACUGUGAGUUGCGAACGGGUGAGUAACGCGUAGGUAACCUGCCUGGUAGCGGGGGAUAACUAUUGGAAACGAUAGCUAAUACCGCAUAAUAUUAAUUAUUGCAUGAUAAUUAAUUGAAAGGUGCAAUUGCACCACUACCAGAUGGACCUGCGUUGUAUUAGCUAGUAGGUGAGGUAACGGCUCACCUAGGCGACGAUACAUAGCCGACCUGCGAGGGUGGUCGGCCACACUGGGACGGAGACACGGCCCAGACUCCUACGGGAGGCAGCAGUAGGGAAUCUUCGGCAAUGGACGAAAGUCUGACCGAGCAACGCCGCGUGAGUGAAGAAGGUUUUCGGAUCGUAAAGCUCUGUUGUAAGAGAAGAACGGGUGUGAGAGUGGAAAGUUCACACUGUGACGGUAUCUUACCAGAAAGGGACGGCUAACUACGUG